CAGAGGUGGCAAGCGUUGUUCGGAAUUACUGGGCGUAAAGGGCGCGUAGGUGGUCUUGUCAGUCAGACGUGAAAUCCCCAGGCUUAACCUGGGAACUGCGUCUGAUACUACGAGACCUGAGUUCGGGAGAGGGAUGUGGAAUUCCAGGUGUAGCGGUGAAAUGCGUAGAUAUCUGGAGGAACACCGGUGGCGAAGGCGGCAUCCUGGACCGAAACUGACACUGAUGCGCGAAAGCCAGGGGAGCAAACGGGAUUAGAUACCCCGGUAGUCCUGGCCCUAAACGAUGAGUGCUUGGUGUGGCGGGUAUCGAUCCCUGCCGUGCCGAAGCUAACGCAUUAAGCACUCCGCCUGGGGAGUACGGUCGCAAGGCUG
rnacentral:rRNA from 1 species